AAGAAGCUUGUUUAGUUUUUCGGAAUCAAAUAUGGCUAGAUGUCAUGUGUAUGAUUGAGUAUAAGAACUAGAACCGCAACUAAUUCCCAAAAGCUAAAUUAAUGUUUCCUUGUUAGAAGAUACAAAGCUAAAAACUCAUACGGACUUCGGCUAAGCCAUUAAUGUUUUGAGAAGCAAUAAGAAGCUUGGUUAUUUUUUUGGAGUCAAAUAUGACUAGAUGUCAUGUGUAUGAUUGAGUAUAAGAACUAGAACCGCAACCGAUUCCCAAAAGCUAAAGUAAUGUUUCCUUGUUUGAAGAUACAAAGUCAAAGACUCAUACGGACUUCGGCUACACCAUCAAAACUUUGUGAGGCAAUAAGAAGCUUCGUUAGUUUUUUGGAGUCAAAUAUGACUAGAUGUCAUGUGUAUGAUUAAGUAUAAGAACUAGAACCACAACUGAUUCCCAAAAGCUAAAGUAAUGUUUCCUUGUUAGAAGAUACAAAGCUAAAAACUCAUACGGACUUCGGCUAAGCCAUCAAAAUUUUGAGAAGCAAUAAGAAGCUUGGUUAGUGUUUUGGAGUCAAAUAUGACUAGAUGUCAUGUGUAUGAUUGAGUAUAAGAACUAGAACCGCAACCGUUUCCCAAAAGCUAAAGUAGUGUUUCCUUGUUAGAAGCUACAAAGCCAAAGACUCAUACGGACUUCGGCUACACCAUCAAAGUUUUGAGAAGCAAUAAGAAGCUUGGUUAGUAUUUUGGAGUCAAAUAAGACAAGAUGUUAUGUGUUUGAUUGAGUAUAAGAACUAGAACCGCAACAUCUUCCCAAAAGCUAAAGUUGUGUUUCCCUUCUAGAAGAUACAAAGCCAAAAACUCAUACGGACUUUGGCUACACCAUCAAAGCUUUAAGAAGCAACAAGAAGUUUGGUUAGUGUUUUGGAGUAAAAAAAGACUAUAU
rnacentral:sRNA from 1 species